GUGAGGAAUAUUGGUCAAUGGACGGAAGUCUGAACCAGCCAAGUAGCGUGCAGGAUGACGGCCCUAUGGAUUGUAAACUUCUUUUGCAGGAGGGUAAAGUGAGCUACGUGUAGCUCAUUGCAAGUACCCUGCGAAUAAGCAUCGGCUAACUCCGUGCCAGCAGCCGCGGUAAUACGGAGGAUGCGAGCGUUAUCCGGAUUUAUUGGGUUUAAAGGGUGCGUAGGCGGACUAAUUAGUCAGCGGUGAAAUUUUGCGGCUCAACCGUAAAACUGCCGUUGAAACUGUUAGUCUUGAGUGCGGUAGAGGUAGGCGGAAUGUGUGGUGUAGCGGUGAAAUGCUUAGAUAUCACACAGAACACCGAUUGCGUAGGCAGCUUACUGGAGCGCAACUGACGCUGAGGCACGAAAGCGUGGGGAUCGAACAGGAUUAGAUACCCCGGUAGUCC
rnacentral:rRNA from 1 species